GUACAUAUGUGGUUCUACCGAUCUUAACUGUACAAAUGCCAAAAAUUAAGUCAACAGUAGGAAGCCGUUUAUAUAGUUUUGUGAGCGAAUUUAGUGCCGAUUUUUUUUCUACGGACGGUAUGGUGCUUUAAAUGAUAGAGUUCAUUUCAAAUAUGCCCCUGUUACUUCUGUGGACGUUGAACCUUGAACGAAGUUUUUCUUCAUAUCAAAACAUUUUAUCUGACCGCCGUUGCCGCUUCCUGUUUGAAAAUCUUAAGAAUCAGCUAAUUAUGCAAUACAAUAAUAUGGCGUACAGAAUAAUUAUAUAAGGAAGCGGUUACAUUCACAAGUCCAUUUUGUUCAUAAUUAAUAAUAAUAUUUAUUUUUAAAAUAAAUUUUAUUCGCUCAUCUAA